rnacentral:sRNA from 1 species
UACAAAGAUUAGCAGUCAGGUACAAUGU